UACGAGUGCCUCAAGCGUUAUCCGGAAUUAUUGGGCGUAAAGGGUGUGUAGGUGGUUUUGUUAGUCUUCUGUUAAAUCUCUUGGCUUAACCAUGAGUCUAUAGAGGAAACGGCAGGACUUAGAGUAUGCGAGGGGUCUGUGGAACUCAUAGUGUAGCGGUGAAAUGCGUUGAUAUUAUGGGGAACACCAAAAGCGAAGGCAGCAGACUGGAGCAUUACUGACACUGAAACACGAAAGCGUGGGGAGCGAAUGGG
rnacentral:rRNA from 1 species